rnacentral:lncRNA from 1 species
AUGCUGCACAAAACUCAUCCGGAAUUGAAGGAGGCUCCUGACUCUACCAGGCCUUGUCACCAGCAGCGUUUCAGCCCAUCGCAAGCCAGCCCCAGGACGACCCAUCUGUGCCAAGGCCGCCGGACCCCCUGGAUCUGUGGUCCCCUGCCUGGGUGCCAGCUCCCGCAGCAGCAGGAGCGAGGUGCCCAGAGAGGACAUGCUUGGAGGCCCCGGGGGAGCUGGUUGGACCACCAACCAGCUGGUGGCCAGCAAUCUGGCCACCCACAGCUCAUCCUCCAGAGCUGCAGGAGAGGGCAGGAAAGGAGCCAAAGGAAGGGCUUUACCUGGUGGAAACGCAGCUGUGGCAUUAGUCUCGGCCAUCUCGCUGACUCCCAGCGAUGCUCACACGUGGAAACGCCGUCUCCCCCCAGCAGCCGAGCCCGAGUGCCAGGAUCCCGGCAAGCGGCAGCGAGGCGGGCGGGUGGCUGUGGCAGAGGCCAGCUCCUGGGCACACCUCGAAGAUGCUCGAGAAACUUGCACCCGCUGCCCAGCCCCUGCUGCAGGGCACGGCUAGCAGGGGACCCCCAGAGACCAGCAUGGGGAUCGCACAGGGCUGAGGCCUUGCACCGCUCAGUGCUUCCCAGCAUCCCCCCCCGCUUCCCCAGAGAGGCGCAGAGGGCAAGCAGCUUGGCCGAAGCAGCCAGCAGUAACAACUUUAACGCCUUCUGGAGCAAGCAGGACCUGUGUCCCUGCACCUCCUGCGAGCGAGGCUCAGCACUCGUCCCCUUUCGUCCUCUCGCUGUCUGCCCAUGCAGCGCAUGCUGCAGAGAGGGUCCCCGAGGCUUUUGCGCCUUGGCAGAGAGUCACCCCAAGACACAAAUCCGGGCAAGUGUGAACCUCGAGAGCCAAGGCACUCAGGUGAGUUGGCAAACACAGAAACAACUCCUGAAUUUGGACUGUACAUAUAUAUAUACAUAUAUACACACACACACACACAUAUAUAUAUAUAUAUAUAUAAAAUCACAGCUCCUGACAGCCUGCAUGGGACCUCCGCGCACUCAGCAUCCCCCUGCCUGCGGUUUAAUAGAAGCUGCUGAGUGCGAGGACACAGGGAUACUAGUGCUAGAUGCAAGAUGA